CGCGGGAUGGAGCAGUUCGGUAGCUCGUCGGGCUCAUAACCCGAAGGUCGGAGGUUCAAAUCCUCCUCCCGCAACCA
rnacentral:tRNA from 3 species